GGAGCAGCAGCAGCACCAGCAGCAGCAGCAGGACCAGCAGCAGCAGGAGGAGACGUGGCUGGUCGCUGGUCCCGCCUGCACCCGCGGGGAAGACGACGGCAGCGACAGCUUCAUUUACAUCAUCACCGACAAGCCCCACGACUACCACGCCUCCGAACGUGAGCUGCAGCAGCACGAGGACGAACAAAACAGCGGCGAAGUCACCCUGUUGCUCAAUGCCGACGGUGUUCUCUCCCAGCUACAACACUGAAAACUCAAUAAAUGAUUCUUCCUUGA